rnacentral:tRNA from 1 species
ACGGGAAUAGCUCAGUUGGUAGAGCAUCGGUCUCCAAAACCGAGGGUCGUAGGUUCGAGUCCUGCUUUCCGUG